rnacentral:rRNA from 1 species
UACAGAGGUCCCAAGCGUUGUUCGGAUUCAUUGGGCGUAAAGGGUGCGUAGGUGGCGAGGUAAGUCGGAUGUGAAAGCUCGGAGCUCAACUCCGAAAUGGCAUUGGAAACUACCUUGCUCGAGGGUUGGAGGGGGGACUGGAAUACUUGGUGUAGCAGUGAAAUGCGUAGAUAUCAAGUGGAACACCAGUGGCGAAGGCGAGUCCCUGGACAACUCCUGACACUGAGGCACGAAAGCUAGGGGAGCAAACAGG